CUUUUAUCAACCAGAGACUGUCAGAAGCUGUGAGGAAAGGAAAGCAAAGGAGAAAAUGCCUAGGAGCCUAUGAUGACACACCAAUUGUUUGCUUUAAUUCCUCUUUGAAGAACAGAAAGAAGAAAGAAAGCUGCUAGCAUCAUUCCUAUCAGAACUUGGAGGAACUAGCUGUCUCUUUUGCUUGGCAGCCUGUAUUGUGCAAAGCUCAGCCAGUCAAGCAGAAAUUGGAAUAAUUUCUACUGAUUCUUCCUGUUGUAAAAAGCUUGAUGUUUACACAUGCACAAAACACACAAGGAUCCGUGUCCAUCUUGGAGUGGAAGAAUUAUUGCACAGUGAUGAAUUUGCUUUGUCUACACCAUGAUUUCAGGAACAGCACAGCAAAAUUAGAUCUUCCACAAGCUUUUCUUAUCCUGCAUCCUGGGUGGCCUUCUCUAUGUGAGGACACUUUCCUUCCUAGACCUACUGCUUGGACCUCACUGUCUCACUGAAACCAUUCCUGUUUUAUAGGCAACUGCAGCUUUGGAAUGUAGAGCACACACCUCUGAGUGUAUGUGGGUAUGUUUAUCUGAAUGUGACUGUAUGUCCUGUCAUAAUGGAGGUCUUUUCUGGAGGAAGAGCUUGAUCUUACUGAAAUCAGGUUAAUCUGAAAUUGGUUUUCCACAAAAGACAGCAUCAAAUUGCUAAUUUGACCAUUUUUAAUCUCCUAGGUUAGAUUUUCAAGAGAAUGAUCACUCUGCUGGCUUUGCAGUCAAUGGAGAUUUAUCACCAACUGAUCCCUUUGGAAAUUAUUACUUUAAUGGAGAUUAAUAACAGUGAUCAACUCAUUAUUAAAUAAUCUUACUAAGGAAUUGUCCAUACAUUCAGGAGACAUUUUGGAAGAACAACAACUCCCUCUGCAUCCUGUCUCAUGUUCUUGGACUGCUGCCAGAAAGAGUCCUUCUGUUUAUUCUUCUGUCAAACAAACUGCUGAAUAAAGAAAUCAAAGUGUAACUCCA
rnacentral:lncRNA from 1 species